ACACAGUUGAAUUAAACUCUUUGUUGAGUUUCAAAACUACAAACCGAGCUAGGUGAAUUAAAUAAACAUAAUGACAGUAGACUUCUUGUUGUAUUUAGUUGAGAUAUUGGUGGAGAUUGAUAGAAAUGUAAGUUGAUUUUUUAUUUUUUUUGUCUUUCUACAGUUCUGCGGUAGAGAAAGGUUACUGCUUUUUAAUGAGAAUGUAUCAGAUACAUCUACUUCCAUCAUCAUAUAAUGUAUUAGUUUUACCAGAUAUAUUCACUUGCCACAUCAUCAUAUAAUGUAUUAGUUUUCUAUUGUUUUGUAUUUAUUAAUUAUUUGACACAACUAUUUUUCUUUUGUUUAUGUUGGACAGAGUUUUAUUGGGUUUGGACGAGUUGGUGUAACAGAUGUUUCACGGUUUUCUAAGUAAUUCUAUUUGAGUUUAUCCAUUUUACGCUUGAUUAUUUGAGUUUAUCCACUCUACCUAUAAUGUAAUUGGGUUGAGAUCAUGAUUCUGUUCAUGGUGACUUAUACUUGGAUUGAUUAGGUUUAGAAAUAGGUUUAGAAAUAAUAUUUUGUUUAGCUAUUUUCCAAAGAAUUUUAUGUGGUUUGAUGGGUUGUAAGAAAGUUGUUUAGUGGUUUUAAUUAGUAUGCAAGGUAAAAUCGUCUCAUAAUUUAAUUUUUCUAAUAAGUUGGUGGUAAGUUAAUAAAUUUUAAAACCUUAUUAACUUCAUAAAUUUGUUUUAAUAUUGCGAUUUGAUGAAUAAAUGGAUACCUUUUAUCAAAGAACUUUUAUAAAUUUUUCCUCAAU
rnacentral:lncRNA from 1 species